AUCCAGCUGACGAGCUCCGAACAGGACGAAACGCACUUCCUGUAU
rnacentral:hammerhead_ribozyme from 1 species